rnacentral:rRNA from 1 species
CCUACGGGAGGCAGCAGUGGGGAAUAUUGGGCAAUGGGCGCAAGCCUGACCCAGCAACGCCGCGUGAAGGAAGAAGGCUUUCGGGUUGUAAACUUCUUUUCUGAGGGACGAAGAAAGUGACGGUACCUCAGGAAUAAGCCACGGCUAACUACGUGCCAGCAGCCGCGGUAAUACGUAGGUGGCAAGCGUUAUCCGGAUUUAUUGGGUGUAAAGGGCGUGUAGGCGGGAAAGCAAGUCAGAUGUGAAAACUCAGGGCUCAACCCUGAGCCUGCAUUUGAAACUGUUUUUCUUGAGUGCUGGAGAGGCAAUCGGAAUUCCGUGUGUAGCGGUGAAAUGCGUAGAGAUACGGAGGAACACCAGUGGCGAAGGCGGCAUACCGGCGCCCAACUGACGCUGAAGCACGAAAGCGUGGGUAUCGAACAGGAUUAGAUACCCCAGUAGUC